AUUGAACGCUGGCGGCAUGCCUUACACAUGCAAGUCGAACGGUAACAGGUUAAGCUGACGAGUGGCGAACGGGUGAGUAAUGUAUCGGAACGUGCCCAGUCGUGGGGGAUAACUGCUCGAAAGAGCAGCUAAUACCGCAUACGACCUGAGGGUGAAAGCGGGGGAUCGCAAGACCUCGCGCGAUUGGAGCGGCCGAUAUCAGAUUAGGUAGUUGGUGAGGUAAAGGCUCACCAAGCCGACGAUCUGUAGCUGGUCUGAGAGGACGACCAGCCACACUGGGACUGAGACACGGCCCAGACUCCUACGGGAGGCAGCAGUGGGGAAUUUUGGACAAUGGGCGCAAGCCUGAUCCAGCCAGGCCGCGUGCGGGAAGAAGGCCUUCGGGUUGUAAACCGCUUUUGUCAGGGAAGAAAAGGUUCUGGCUAAUACCUGGGACUCAUGACGGUACCUGAAGAAUAAGCACCGGCUAACUACGUG
rnacentral:rRNA from 1 species